rnacentral:misc_RNA from 1 species
AAAAAUUCUAAAAUUUUGCCCCGCAGUCCUUAGCAACAUUAUAGAGGUAACACAAAAGGAAUUAUAAUUUUCUAGCAACCCACGAAUAUUUUAUGAAAUUUUAUUCUAAAUCCAACACUAUAAAAUUGAAGAAACUUGGAGUUCGGGUUUACCUAUGCCAAUUCUGACACCUGGAACGCGUCCAGAACGUCUGAAAAUGCUAGGAUUGACUGUAAUAUUGACCACGUUCUGAGAUUGGCCGUCGGGCAGCCGGAUCUGGCUGAAAAUGCAGUCCCGACGCCGAUGAGCUAUCCUCGAUCCAAUCGCACCUAAAUUAAGUCCAAAUUUUGUUAAUAAUUAUCAUAAAAUUAUUUUUAAAUUUUAGAAAUCGAAAAAGUUCGAAAAUAUCACAAAGCAAUCUAGACCGUCUGAUUAUCGCCUUUUUCAAAUGGUGUUCGAUCCGAGCGGGACUAGUCAUAUCUCGAAGAUUUUGUCGUACUCAGUCCAUUGGUGGCCUCGGAUUUCCGAUCCGACGGUCGGAUCGCCGGAAAAGUGGCCGGAAAGCUCGAAACCCAUAUGUUUUUCUUCCAACUUUCCCUCACCGGACCUUCUCCCUCCGGCCACCGUUGGAGGCGAGGCUGGUUGGUUCUUGAAGCUUGCUAUGCCGGGAGUUGAACGAGCCCAGCCUCGUCGGAAACAACCACCAGAUGACGUCGGAACGAAGCUCGAAAGUGGCAGCCUCGCACAUGCGUCCACCUCCCUCUCUCAUUGAAACUAGCCUCCAUUGCCGCCCUUUGCCGCCUUGCUUGCUGCCGUAGAGGCUCGCCGGAGCAUGCUGGAGACUCACCGGUCUUCAUCGCCAGCAGUGGUGUCCUUUGCCGGCCGGAAAAAUGAAGAAAGCAAGAGAAAGAGAGGGUGAAAGGGAGAGAGUGCGUGGGGGUGAGGGGUGGUUUGCAUGGGUCUGUUUCCAUAUUUCACUUUUUUU